CUAAUAAUUAUUACAGAGCGCACCUGCAUGGUUAUCUGGCGUAGUGAUUGAAUUAUAUUACAAAUAUAUAUAUAUAUCAAUACUACUUUAGUCCGUUCCGCUUUGAUAAGCUAUUUGGGAAAAACAUGUUAUUGCCAUUCUAUAAGAUUAGAUUGCCAAAAUAAUGCCAAUUAAAAUAAUCAUACGAUGAGCGUUCGCUGUAGCAUCCGCCCAUCGGGUCAACACAAUUCACACAAUAACACAUUACACAGAUUAGCAUAACCAUAUAAAUAGGAGUAGGAUCUAAGCCUAUUCCAGACGAAUUAUUACACUCAUGUUGAAUACACUUAUGUAGCUGUUGUCUACGCACUUUUACUAUACAAUAAAUUUUAUACUUAUAUUUUGAAAAAGUCUUAACUUAUUUUAAAUCCAUCUUCCUGAACUGGUUUCAAAUUGAACAACAAGAUACUUUUUGAUCUUAAUACAUCACCAAGCAUCACAGCGGCGCAGUCGGUUUUUCGGAUCCGUUUGGAGGCAAACCAACCCCAAGGCACAUUUCAAAGACGGGAACUGCAGACCCUUCUUCGAGACUUCAAACAAGGACCAUCCCUGUUCAAUUGGAAUCAGUCAUAGAUGGCAGUUUCACGCAGUUUGGCGUUCGUAUAAUUUUCUGUACAAGAGAGCAAUAUCUGCAAACUUGCUGUCAUAAUACUAUUCGCAUUAAACCAUAUUCAUAUCUAUCAGUCAAAAAAAAAACCAUUUGAGUAUUCACUGUUCUAUCCAAAUAUUGUAAGUUAACUUAAUUAACUAAUGGCUUUACAUUAUAGUUUAAAAGAAAUAUCUUUCUUUAAGUUAUUCAUUAAAAUUGCUUACGAAGAUCUUCUUCGUCGAUCAAACAAAACUUAUAACCAAAUAAUUCUUGAAACUAAUAACCAACUAAGACAUGGUUACCCUAUAGCUAAUCUUAAUAAAUUCAAAGAGGCUUUAACAAU